AAAACACAAAGUAAACAUUAAUUAAUACUUAUUUAUGUACAAAAGCAUAUAAUACACAAAGUAAUAUUAAUUAAAACUCAAAGUCAUGUAUGUACAAGCUGAUUCAUUAAUAUUCAUUCUAUGAGUACAUUUACAUGAUAUAUUGUUUACGGUUCUACCCUAGUAAUAAUGCAUGAUUUAUCCAGAUGGUGUUAAUGUUUCUAUAUUUUUAUUAGGUUUGGAAUGUUUGUUUUAAGUGGACAGUGAGUAGUUCUAAUCUCAUAAAUCCAUUAACAAAAUACACAUAAAAAUAGAUAAGAAAUUAAUCUGAGCGUAUUCUAAGAAUUUCAACAGUAUGUAAACUAUGUAGUUUUGUUUGAUUUAUCCAGGAAUCUUUUAUAUGAAGAUGAAAAGUAGCUCUUUUAAAUACCACUACAUCACAUUACAAAUCAAUUAUGUUAUUUCUUCGUUGUACAUUUCUCCUUACUUUGCAUACAGUGAAAUCAGACUUUUAAUAUGUUUAUUAGUAGAGACUCCUAAUUUA
rnacentral:lncRNA from 1 species